rnacentral:rRNA from 1 species
CGCAUCUGUGCAUGCAGCAUAUCAAUAAGCGGAGGAAAAGAAACUAACAAGGAUUCCCCUAGUAACGGCGAGUGAAGCGGGAAGAGCUCAAAUUUGAAAUCUUAAAGGGUUUCCCUUUACGAAUUGUAGUUUAAAGAAGUGUUUUCUGUUGAGGUUUUGGUAAAAGUUCUUUGGAAUAGGACAUCAUAGAGGGUGAGAAUCCCGUAUUUGACCUUUACUUUCAACUUUGUGAUACACUUUCAAAGAGUCGGAUUGUUUGGGAAUGCAGUCCAAAAUGGGUGGUAAAUUUCAUCUAAAGCUAAAUAUUGGCGAGAGACCGAUAGCGAACAAGUACCGUGAGGGAAAGAUGAAAAGAACUUUGAAAAGAGAGUUAAACAGUACGUGAAAUUGUCAAAAGGGAAGCGUUUGACACCAGUGUUGUUUUUCUGAAAAUCAAUUAAAGAACUGUUUAUGCUAAGCUGUUUAGACUUUAUCAGCUAACUGUUUAGUUUUGAGCUUUUCUUUAAUGCACUUUUCAGUUAACAAGUCAACAUCAAUUUCUUUCUGCUGUAAAAAAGCUUGAGGAAGGUGGCUUGAGAUUCGUCUUAAGUGUUUAUAGCCUCUUGCCUAUGCAGUCGGAGAGAUUGAGGUCUGCAGCGUAGAUCCUUCGGGGCUAAAUGCAUUUGUGCUAAGUUAUAGCAUUUUAUAGACAACUUGUUGACUAUGAUUUGUCUUGUAGCUUACUCGCUUAUGUUAUUUUACCUACGCUUAGGAUGUUGAACGCGCACAGAGUCUC